GCUGCCCUCAAGCCCGGCUUGUGUGUUGGGCCCCGUCCUCCGAUCCCGGGGGACGGGCCCGAAAGGCAGCGGCGGCACCGCGUCCGGUCCUCGAGCGUAUGGGGCUUUGUCACCCGCUCUGUAGGCCCGGCCGGCGCUUGCCGAUCAACCCAAAUUUUUAUCCAGG
rnacentral:misc_RNA from 1 species